UACGAAGGGGGCUAGCGUUGCUCGGAUUGACUGGGCGUAAAGGGCGCGUAGGCGGUUUGUACAGUCAGACGUGAAAUUCCUGGGCUCAACCUGGGGGCUGCGUUUGAUACGUGCGAGCUUGAGUUCGGGAGAGGGUCGUGGAAUUCCCAGUGUAGAGGUGAAAUUCGUAGAUAUUGGGAAGAACACCGGUGGCGAAGGCGGCCACCUGGCCCGAUACUGACGCUGAGGCGCGAAAGCGUGGGGAGCAAACAGG
rnacentral:rRNA from 1 species